rnacentral:rRNA from 1 species
AGCAACAAAUGCCCUGCUUCCAGGAAAAGCCUCUAAGCCUCAGGUAACAUCAAAUCGUACCCCAAACCGACACAGGUGGUCAGGUAGAGAAUACCAAGGCGCUUGAGAGAACUCGGGUGAAGGAACUAGGCAAAAUGGUGCCGUAACUUCGGGAGAAGGCACGCUGACACGUAGGUGAAGUGGUUUACCCAUGGAGCUGAAGUCAGUCGAAGAUACCAGCUGGCUGCAACUGUUUAUUAAAAACACAGCACUGUGCAAACACGAAAGUGGACGUAUACGGUGUGACGCCUGCCCGGUGCCGGAAGGUUAAUUGAUGGGGUCAGCGCAAGCGAAGCUCCUGAUCGAAGCCCCGGUAAACGGCGGCCGUAACUAUAACGGUCCUAAGGUAGCGAAAUUCCUUGUCGGGUAAGUUCCGACCUGCACGAAUGGCGUAAUGAUGGCCAGGCUGUCUCCACCCGGGACUCAGUGAAAUUGAACUCGCUGUGAAGAUGCAGUGUACCCGCGGCAAGACGGAAAGACCCCGUGAACCUUUACUAUAGCUUGACACUGAACACUGGUCCUUGAUGUGCAGGAUAGGUGGGAGGCUUUGAAGUGUGGACGCCAGUCUGCAUGGAGCCAUCCUUGAAAUACCACCCUUUAAUGGCUGGUGUUCUAACGUGGGCCCGUGAACCGGGUUGCGGACAGUGUCUGGUGGGUAGUUUGACUGGGGCGGUCUCCUCCUAAAGAGUAACGGAGGAGCACGAAGGUUGGCUAAUCCUGGUCGGACAUCAGGAGGUUAGUGCAAUGGCAUAAGCCAGCUUGACUGCGAGCGUGACGGCGCGAGCAGGUGCGAAAGCAGGUCAUAGUGAUCCGGUGGUUCUGAAUGGAAGGGCCAUCGCUCAACGGAUAAAAGGUACUCCGGGGAUAACAGGCUGAUACCGCCCAAGAGUUCAUAUCGACGGCGGUGUUUGGCACCUCGAUGUCGGCUCAUCACAUCCUGGGGCUGAAGUAGGUCCCAAGGGUAUGGCUGUUCGCCAUUUAAAGUGGUACGCGAGCUGGGUUUAGAACGUCGUGAGACAGUUCGGUCCCUAUCUGCCGUGGGCGCUGGAAGAUUGAGGGGGGCUGCUCCUAGUACGAGAGGACCGGAGUGGACGCAUCACUGGUGUUCGGGUUGUCAUGCCAAUGGCACUGCCCGGUAGCUACAUGCGGAAGAGAUAAGUGCUGAAAGCAUCUAAGCACGAAACUUGCCCCGAGAUGAAUCUUCCCUGAGCCUUUAAGGCUCCUGAAGGAACGUUGAAGACGACGACGUUGAU